GACGAACGCUGGCGGCGUGCUUAACACAUGCAAGUCGAACGGAAAGGCCUCUUUCGGGGGGUACUCGAGUGGCGAACGGGUGAGUAACACGUGAGUAACCUGCCCUUGACUUUGGGAUAACUUCAGGAAACUGGGGCUAAUACCGGAUAGGAGCUCCUGCUGCAUGGUGGGGGUUGGAAAGUUUCGGCGGUUGGGGAUGGACUCGCGGCUUAUCAGCUUGUUUGUGGGGUAGUGGCUUAUCAAGGCUUUGACGGGUAUCCGGCCUUAGAGGGUGAACGGCCACAAUGGGACUUAGAUACCGCCCAGACUCCCACGGGAAGCAACAAGUGGGAAAAUUUCACAAAUGGUGGAAGCCCUAUGCAACAACGCCGGCGUCCGGAAUACCGCCUUCGGGUUGUAAACCGCUUUCGCUCAUUACCAAACUUUGUGUGACGGUAAUGGGUAAAGAAGCACCGGCUAACUACGUG
rnacentral:rRNA from 1 species